rnacentral:rRNA from 1 species
GACGUAGGGGGCGAGCGUUAUCCGGAUUUAUUGGGCGUAAAGGGCGCGUAGGCGGUCCGCAGCAGUGGCGCGUGGAAUCCCCCGGCUCAACCGGGGGGGGCCGCGCCAGACGGGCGGACUUGAGGGCGGCAGAGGGCCACGGAACGGGCGGAGUAGGGGUGAAAUCCGUAGAGACCGUCCGGAACACCGAUGGCGAAGGCAGUGGCCUGGGCCGUACCGCUCAUCCGUCCCGCAAGGGGCGGGUGGGUCCUGACGCUGAGGCGCGAAAGCGUGGGGAGCGAACGGAAUUAGAUACUCCGGUAGUCCACGCCCUAAACGAUGGCCGCUCGGUGUCGGGGGUAUCGACCCCCCCGGUGCCCCAGCUAACGCGGUAAGCGGCCCGCCUGGGGACUACGGCCGCAAGGCUAAA